rnacentral:lncRNA from 1 species
ACCUGCUUAAAAGCGGUGCCUCGUCAGCAUUAUACGUCGUAUUGUAAAAUGUGACAAUUUAGGUACACGUAUGCUAAAACGAAUAACAUUAAAGAGGGCUUUUUACAACUUUAGGUUCAUGCUUAGCGGUUAUAUAUUACUAAUGGGUAUUAAGUAUAUUGAAUUUUGUACGUUUUAACACUAGAUAACACGUGGUAUCCCCAGAAAACCUCAUAAAUAUGUCAUUCUUAACAAUGUGUCGCCAGUGGCAAUAAUCGAACAAUGCUUGUUUGUGCUAUCUCCAAAUUCGUUAUUGGGAGAGUCAUGAAUCAUGUUACAAACGUAGGACAUUCAACUAUAACGUCCUUAACUAUUAUGUUUAAUUUCUGUCAGCUUUAAGAAAAAUAUGCUGUAAAUGACACGCCGACAUACAGGAAUACACACAUCAAAAAUAAAUUUAUAAACAUUUAUGCAAAAACGAAACAAGUUCGUUUUCCUGUUAUGUUUGAAAUUCGCUUACUAAAUGGAGUGAAUGAAGUAUAUGUACAUUUAUUGUAGCGAGCCAAGGCUGUGAAACUAUCGCUUCAUUCGAUUGUAUAUAAGUUUUGAAACGUGACUGAAGACAUGAUGUUCAAAAAUCGAAACAAAUUUCAAAACAUGUUUUAAUGUUUUAUCUAUUAGUUUAGAUUUUUUGGUGGUGGCCUUUUAUCAUUUCAGAAAUGGAACGCCAUCAGAAAUUUUCAGAUAUGCUUACAGUAACUUUUGCAUUUUUAAAGCAAACGGAGUGUUCAAUACUCCUGCAUACGUGGUAAAAAUGAUCGCAGAUUCCAUUUGAUGAGUCUUUUCUUGACUGGAAAUGGAACGUGCCAUACCGUUUACGCCCUCUAGCGCCGGUUCAUGCGGAUAUAAAUUUCCAUGAACGUUACAUGUUUGAACGUUUGAUCAUCAAGUCAAUUUCAUGCCAUAUGACUUUUAUGUCAUGAACAACUGCUUCAUAUAAAACGCAGGAAAGAAGACAAACUAUCAUCAUUUACAAUGAAGACGCUACUAGUUUUACUUUUAGUUGUUAGUGUAUUUACAAGCGCAUUUUCUCUAGAAGAUGAUGAUGAAAGUAUGCCAGACGUUGCACGGGCAAGUAGGCUGAGUGAGGCUGUGAUGCCAGCGGCAGCAGCAGGUCAGAGUGAAAAGGCUGUUGGACAAAGAUGUUGAUGAAAAAAAUGACUAGUUUAAGACUCCAGCAGGCAACUAAACUAUGGUCAUUAGCCACUGGCAGUCUUAAGUUACACGACAUUUCAAAGUUUGGUACAUUGUAUUCAUCGCCUGGUACUGAAUGACUACCGGAUACUAAAACCUCGUGCAGAGCAAGUUCCAGUUAGAUGUUACCAUUGGCAACGGAUCAGUGUCAUAUACUUGUGUAUUUGUAGAUAAGUUGUAGAUUGUUGUAACUUCAAGUUUACGUACAUAUAAACAUUGUACAUUGAAUGAUUUAUUAUGGACCACACUUAUCGUGAUUUUUUUUUUGAAAAUAGAAUUCUUUCUCAAAUAUUUUGACAUAAUACAACACUAAUAUGUUUUUAUUGUAGCAGGUAUGCUUUAUGUAAUCGUUUAUUCAUUUGUAACAUUUGUAAA